CAAAUUCCGCCGAGGUCGACUUUGCCUUUCAUCCUUUCGGGCAGAUAAAAUAAGUCCCAGUUUAGCACUUGGGGGUCGAUGUAAUCAACUUAAUUCCUUCCUCCAAAUGGCUGACCCUUUGCCAAAAUUAGGGAGAGUAAAAUUGCUGAAUGAGCGUCUGACAAAAUGGUCGGCGGCAUUUCUUCCGGCUCUCUUACGUUCAAAUGC